UACAGAGGUCUCAACCGUUGUUCGGAUUCAUUGGGCGUAAAGGGUGCGUAGGCGGCGGGGUAAGUCAGGUGUGAAAUCUCGGGGCUCAACCCCGAAACUGCACUUGAUACUGCCUUGCUCGAGUACUGGAGAGGAGACUGGAAUUUACGGUGUAGCAGUGAAAUGCGUAGAUAUCGUAAGGAAGACCAGUGGCGAAGGCGAGUCUCUGGACAGUUCCUGACACUGAGACACGAAGGCCAGGGGAGCAAACGGG
rnacentral:rRNA from 1 species